CCUACGGGGGGCUGCAGUGGGGAAUAUUGCACAAUGGGCGCAAGCCUGAUGCAGCCAUGCCGCGUGUGUGAAGAAGGCCUUCGGGUUGUAAAGCACUUUCAGCGGGGAGGAAGGCGGUGAGGUUAAUAACCUCAUCGAUUGACGUUACCCGCAGAAGAAGCACCGGCUAACUGCCGUGCCAGCAGCCGCGGUAAUACGGAGGGUGCAAGCGUUAAUCGGAAUUACUGGGCGUAAAGCGCACGCAGGCGGUCUGUCAAGUCGGAUGUGAAAUCCCCGGGCUCAACCUGGGAACUGCAUUCGAAACUGGCAGGCUAGAGUCUUGUAGAGGGGGGUAGAAUUCCAGGUGUAGCGGUGAAAUGCGUAGAGAUCUGGAGGAAUACCGGUGGCGAAGGCGGCCCCCUGGACAAAGACUGACGCUCAGGUGCGAAAGCGUGGGGAGCAAACAGGAUUAGAUACCCCAGUAGUC
rnacentral:rRNA from 1 species